UUUUCCACUAGAGAUGUAAAUUUGGCAAACAAAUUUUGACGCCGCUUUUUUUUCGAGGCUUCAUUCCCAUAUACGGUACGUAACUUCUUGUAUGCUUGCGAUGCGAUCUUGACUUUUCGGAAAUAAUACAAUAAAAUAUGUUUCAAAUGCGCGAGGUGUUCUUUCAUUUUUAAAUU